AUGGGCUCCAGACCCGCGGACGCCGCAGGGGGCCAACAGCAGCAGCAGGCGGAGGAGCCCUCCAUGGCGGACGUGUACGGCGGCCACGAGCUGACGCCGCUGCAGAAGCACGCCGCCUUCUUCGACCGGAACAGGGACGGCAUCAUCUACCCCUCCGAGACCUACCAAGGGCUGCGCGCCAUCGGCUGCGGCGUCGUGCUGUCCGCCGCCGGCACCGUCUUCAUCAACGUCUUCCUCUCGUCCAAGACGGUACCGGCGAACGUGAAGCCCCCAGCUUUCAAGUUCCCCAUCUACGUGAAGACCAUUCAGCAGGGCAAGCAUGGGAGUGAUACAGACGUCUACGACACCCAGGGCAGGUUUGUUCCUGAAAAGUUUGAGGAGAUAUUCAAGAAGCAUGCCCACACUAGGCCUGAUGCCCUAACGGACAAAGAGCUUGGGGAGAUGCUUAAAGCAAACAGGGAUCCUAAAGAUUUCGCUGGACGGGUGGGCGCUUUCGUAGAGUGGAGACUUCUCUACGCGUUGUGCAAAGACAAGGAGGGAUUUCUUCACAAGGAGACUGUCAAGGCGGUCUAUGAUGGCAGCGUGUUUGAGAAGUUGGAGCGAGAAAAGAAGGAAGCUAAGGAAUUUGCCAAGAAGAAAUGA
rnacentral:rRNA from 1 species